GAUUAACGCUGGCGGUGUGCAUAACACAUGCAAGUCGAGCGCCCAGCACCCAGUUGAGAAGCUAUUCUCGAUUGAGUGCUGGGAGCGGCAGACGGGUGAGUAACACGUUGGAAUCUGCCCCGAAGUCAGGGAUAAGCCUCAGAAAUGAGGUCUAAUACCGGAUAGUCCCGCAAGGGUAAAGCAGCAAUGCGCUACGGGAGGAGCCUGCGUAUUAUCAGCUUGUUGGUGAGGUAAAAGCUUACCAAGGCUAUGACGAUUAGCUGGUCUGAGAGGAUGAUCAGCCACAAUGGAACUGAGACACGGUCCAUACUCCUACGGGAGGCAGCAGUGAGGAAUCUUCCACAAUGGGCGAAAGCCUGAUGGAGCAACACCGCGUGAAGGAUGACGGCCUUUUGGUUGUAAACUUCUUUUCUGAAGGAAGAAUUCUGACGGUACUUCAGGAAUAAGCAUCGGCUAACUCCG
rnacentral:rRNA from 1 species